AUAGUGGUGGGUCAGUGGUAGAAUGCCCACCUUCUGUGUGGGAGACCUGAGUUCCAUUCCUAGCCAAUGCA
rnacentral:tRNA from 1 species